rnacentral:rRNA from 1 species
GAACUUAACUUAAGUUAUACUGGGGUAGUAAAUAAAUUAUAAUUUUUAUUUAAAAUAAAAUUAAAAUAUCCUAUAAUAUAGAUAAUUAAGUUACCUUAGGGAUAACAGCGCAAUUAUAUUUUAAAGUUCUUAUUUAAAAAAUAGAUUACGACCUCGAUGUUGAAUUAAUAACCUAAAUAUAGAAAAUUAUAUAUAAGGAAGUCUGUUCGACUUUUAAACAAUUACAUGAUUUGAGUUCAGACCGGUAUAAGCCAGGUCGGUUUCUAUCUUCUAAUUUAAAGUUUUACAGUACGAAAGGACCUACAUAUCUUAAUAUUUUAUUAAAUUAAUUGGCAGACAAAUGCAUUAGAAUUAGAAUCUAAUAACACUAAA